rnacentral:rRNA from 1 species
GGGUGUGACUGCGUACCUUUUGUAUAAUGGGUCAGCGACUUAUAUUCUGUAGCAAGGUUAACCGUAUAGGGGAGCCGGAGGGAAACCGAGUCUUAACCGGGCGUUAAGUUGCAGGGUAUAGACCCGAAACCCGGUGAUCUAGCCAUGGGCAGGUUGAAGGUUGGGUAACACUAACUGGAGGACCGAACCGACUAAUGUUGAAAAAUUAGCGGAUGACCUGUGGCUGGGGGUGAAAGGCCAAUCAAACCGGGAGAUAGCUGGUUCUCCCCGAAAGCUAUUUAGGUAGCGCCUCGUGAAUUCAUCUCCGGGGGUAGAGCACUGUUUCGGCUAGGGGGCCAUCCCGGCUUACCAACCCGAUGCAAACUGCGAAUACCGGAGAAUGUUAUCACGGGAGACACACGGCGGGUGCUAACGUCCGUCGUGAAGAGGGAAACAACCCAGACCGCCAGCUAAGGUCCCAAAGUCAUGGUUAAGUGGGAAACGAUGUGGGAAGGCCCAGACAGCCAGGAUGUUGGCUUAGAAGCAGCCAUCAUUUAAAGAAAGCGUAAUAGCUCACUGGUCGAGUCGGCCUGCGCGGAAGAUGUAACGGGGCUAAACCAUGCACCGAAGCUGCGGCAGCGAA